rnacentral:rRNA from 1 species
AGUGAACGCUGGCGGUAGGCCUAACACAUGCAAGUCGAACGGCAGCACAGUAAGAGCUUGCUCUUACGGGUGGCGAGUGGCGGACGGGUGAGGAAUACAUCGGAAUCUACUUUUUCGUGGGGGAUAACGUAGGGAAACUUACGCUAAUACCGCAUACGACCUACGGGUGAAAGCAGGGGAUCUUCGGACCUUGCGCGAUUGUAUGAGCCGAUGUCGGAUUAGCUAGUUGGCGGGGUAAAGGCCCACCAAGGCGACGAUCCGUAGCUGGUCUGAGAGGAUGAUCAGCCACACUGGAACUGAGACACGGUCCAGACUCCGACGGGAGGCAGCAGAGGGGAAUAUUGGACAAUGGGCGCAAGCCUGAUCCAGCCAUACCGCGUGGGUGAAGAAGGCCUUCGGGUUGUAAAGCCCUUUUGUUGGGAAAGAAAAGCAGCAGGUUAAUACCCCGCUGUUCUGACGGUACCCAAAGAAUAAGCACCGGCUAACUUCGUG